rnacentral:rRNA from 1 species
AUGGAUCCGGAAAUGAGGGGUCGUGUUAGGAAGAGGGAGGAGGAGGAUGACGAAAUGAUGUUAUUCAUUUUCCAUGCACUACAUUUGAUAGAGACCAAUGGAGUUGCUCUUAGGGAGCGGAGGAUUCCGUGUCAUACAUCAUCGCUAACAGGCGAGAUGUUUGUUAACGAGUUACUCGAAGGGCACAUCAAAAACUGUCGGGUAGCAUUUAGGAUGGAGCCACGUAUCUUCAAAUCUUUGGCUAAUUAUCUUCGAAGGGAGAAGUUGGUGAAAGAUACCAGAAUUAAAGUCGAAGAGAAACUAGCAUCAUUUCUGUGUAUGUUAUCCCAUAAUUCUUCAUUUGAAGACCUUCAAGUUCGGUUUGGUCACAGCGGGGAUACUUUUCAUUGGCAAAUGAAGAAUUUCUUUGACAUCAUCCCUAUUCUCUCCAAGCAUUUUUUGAAGCCUCCAAAUCCCAGUCAAGUGCAUCCAAAGAUUCAGUCGGACACGAGAUUCUUUCCUUAUUUUUAG